AGAUUUCUGCCUUGUUCGAUGAAGUGUGAUUUUAUAAUCCAACACAUUAUAUAAGGGAUUCAGUCUCCGUCAGCGGAUUGCAGACCUCCCGCCGCAUUAGAUGUGCGGAGUAACGGACGCAGGGAGCGUGAACCUGUCGGGCUGUUGCCCACCUGCCGAGUGCGGGUUUUAUGCUUCACAUGGCGGCAAGGCGGUUAUCUU
rnacentral:other from 1 species